rnacentral:ncRNA from 2 species
GCUUGUCUCAAAGAUUAAGCCAUG